GACGAACGCUGGCGGCGUGCUUAACACAUGCAAGUCGAACGGAAAGGCCCUGCUUUUGUGGGGUGCUCGAGUGGCGAACGGGUGAGUAACACGUGAGUAACCUGCCCUUGACUUUGGGAUAACUUCAGGAAACUGGGGCUAAUACCGGAUAGGAGCUCCUGCUGCAUGGUGGGGGUUGGAAAGUUUCGGCGGUUGGGGAUGGACUCGCGGCUUAUCAGCUUGUUGGUGGGGUAGUGGCUUACCAAGGCUUUGACGGGUAGCCGGCCUGAGAGGGUGACCGGCCACAUGGGGACUGAGAGACGGCCCAGACUCCUACGGGAGGCAGCAGUGGGGAAUAUUGCACAAUGGGCGGAAGCCUGAUGCAGCAACGCCGCGUGCGGGAUGACGGCCUUCGGGUUGUAAACCGCUUUCGCCUGUGACGAAGCGUGAGUGACGGUAAUGUGUAAAGAAGCACCGGCUAACUACGUG
rnacentral:rRNA from 1 species